GCGCUCGUAGCUCAAUUGGAUGAGCACCAAGCUCCUACCUUGGAUGAUGCGGGUUCGAGUCCCGCCGAGCGCACCA
rnacentral:tRNA from 1 species